GUAUAUCAUUUACGUCAAAUUUGUUUCAAUCUGAAACUGAUUUUUUCUCAACUGUUGCUAAUACAAUUUUUCUGCAUUAAACAAUUGAAAAUUAUGAUGAUAUAGCAACCACCAAGAUCUCUGAAUGCCGUGAUUAGCAUAUUUGCUACUCUGAUUUAAUGAAAAAAAAAAAAAAUGUUUACGUCGGGGAUCAAAAAACGAGAAUAAUUUGAAGUUUCAUUGAUUUUUUUCAGAGUUACUUUAUUUCGCUUGUUUUACUUCGACAACGGGGGAAAAAAUUUCCAAAAGGGUCGUUGUCCUCGACGCGGAAAACCUAUGGAAACUUAUUCAAUUUGAAUUCUGGGCCGGGUUGAACGAGUUGAGCAAAAACACUCAUUUGAAUUGUCGUUCACUUUUCCUCCAACGCACAGGAGAAACAAAUAUCGACGAGAAAAAGUUGAAGAAAAAAAAGAAUGAAAUAACCGUACGCUUGUGACGGAAAGUUUUACGAACUCGUUCGCCAAGUCCUGUUGAUUUUUUCCUCGAGAAGAAGAAGGUCAAUGGUAUAAUAGUCCCAACGCCUGUUCUCGUCAAUCUCGUAGCUGUUGAAGGCCAGCAGAUCUUCGUGAUUCAUCGCCAGCUGGUCGACUUUUUUUUCUCAUUUUCGAAUUACGGUGUAUCUCUUAUGGAAAUUUAUCUUUCCCUGUACAUCGUUUUUUUUUUCAGUUCGGGUUAACUAGCCAACAGGUUGGAAUGAUCGGGGAUUCCCGAAAUCAUUUUUUUUGUUUUCGUCUAUCUGUCUUUGAGCUUUGCCCCGAUGUGAAAAUAAGAGGCUGACGAUUUCAAACGAGUUCUUCGUGAAACGUAAACCUUUUUAUGUUUCAUUGUUUUCGGAAUUACAAUAUUUAUCAACAGUACGUUUUUUUUUUUCAUUAAACUUCAACAACUAUGGAAAUAAAAUACCCGCAUAGUCUACGUAAAUCAAAGAGCUUCGUAUGAAAAAUGUUUUCUAUUAAAAACUACUGCAAAAAAUUUCAAUAAAUAAAUUAUUUCCAAAA